GCCUUGUAGCAUAGGUGCUGAGCUUUUCCUCCAGCUAGGUUACAGACUCGGACCUUUACAAGGAGAUUAACUUUGCCGGUCCGCCGGGCAAGAGGAAAGGAACUGCGGACACCAUUCAGGUGACUCAAGAGACCUGUUGCUGCAUAUGCCUGUCUCUUCAUUUAAAGCUUUUGUGGAUUUAUCUGGGUAUCUGCAGUUUUGGAAACCCCCUGUGUCUCAGGAAAACUACAUAAAAACUAUGGUUUACUUAGUGACUGUAACAUUUCUGCUCUGCCGGUUGGAGGACCAAAUUCACGUAGAUGUUCUUUUAGAUGGAGGUCACAACCAACUCUUGCAGCAGAAAAUGACUUUGCUAUUUGCUCCUCUUUUGCAUGAUUCUCAACCUGAAGCAAAAUGACGCUGCCCCACUUCUUGGUGGCUAAGUGUUGUCUAAAUGUUAGGGUAGGGUGGAGAACCUGCUCUAGACCGGCUCUUCAUUCCUUUGCUAUUCACGCCUUGGGGCAAUUGGACUGACUGAGCAGCCUGAACCUGAUAUAAUUCAAGCUACACAGUGAAGGUGGACAGAGAAAGAAGAGGAGGAAGGCUCAACAGCCCUGAGCUGACUGCACCAGGAUUCCAAUGGGUAAUCAAUACCCUUGAGGCGAAGCAACUUUCUCCCACCUCCCUUCCCUCCCUCCUCCCCUUCAUCUCUUUUUCCCUCCUUCCUUCCCUCCCUCUCACCCAUUGCUUCUCUCUCCACCCUAAAUUCUAAUUCAUAAAGAGAAAGCUUGUCAUGAUUCUCCCUGGGCUAAAAUAAGCACAUAGACGAGUGUAGCCCAUGUGACAGACUUAAGUAUUUGAAGCCGUGUCAGUAGCUUGCUUUUAUAAGUCAAGGAGAACGAGCUCUGGACACUGCUAAUGAGGCUGGUGCACACAAGCUCACUGGCAGCCAGCAAUCUCAUCUUUGUUAACUCUAGGCAAAGAAUAUAUAUACUACUAUUUUUGUUUACUUAUCCUCUCAUGAAGAGGAAGCAAAAGCAAUGUGCAGUAAUGACAUCGUCUUCCUCAGCAUCACUUCCUAUUUUCUACUUAUUUGUGACUGGUUGCAGGCAAAUGAAGAAGGGGAAAGACGCUACAGCUUUUCCUCUAAAUUCAGAAGUUUAACUCUCCAAAGAUGGGACUCAGGUUGUUCUCUACCACUUGCUGGCUUCCUUCCCUUCCCUUCCCUUCCCUUCCCUUCCCUUCCCUUCCCUUCCCUUCCCUUCCCUUCCCUUCCCUUCCCUUCCCUUCCCUUCCCUUCCCCUCCCUUCCCUUCCCUUCCCUUCCCCUCCCUUCCCUUCUCUCCCCUCCCCUUCCCUUCCCUUCCCUUUCCCUCCCCUUCCCUUCCUUUCCCUCCCCUUCCUCUUCCUUUCUUCCUUCUUUUCUUUGUUCUCUUUCUCUUUUCUUUUUUCUGUCUAUGUAGCCCUUCCUGUCCUGGAACUCACUACAUAGAUCAGGCUGGCCUCAAAUUCAUAGAGAUCCAUCUGCCCCUGUCUCUUGAGUGUUAGGCCAACUUUCACUUCUUUCUUUCUUUCUUUCUUUCUUUCUUUCUUUCUUUCUUUCUUUCUUCCUUCCUUCCUUCCUUUCUCUCUUUCUUUCUUCCUUUCUCUCUCUCUCUCUUUCUUUCUUUCUUUCUUUCUUUCUUUCUUUCUUUCUUUCUUUCUUUCAACUUCAUGUUGAUUGUGAAUUUCACAUCAUGCACCCCAGUCCCACUCAUCUCGCCUUCCCUUUGUAACUAUCCUCUGUUCUUGCAACUUCCCCCUGGUGGGAGAAAAACAUCAGCAAGAUAGAACAACAACAACAACAAUAACAAACAACCAUCCCGUCGUGGAAGCUGUAGUGUGUCACAGUAUACCCUGUUGACCAAAUGCUCAUUACAGGGAGUCAUUGGUCUGAUUUGAACUCCUCUGGGACUCCUCUCACAUAUCCUGUCAUUGCCUCUGUCAUGGAGAUCCACAGCUUUGGAUCCAGCAGUUCAUAGAUGCGGUAGAUGUUGGGGUGGGUCAUCUAUAAGCCCUGGAUCUGGACCUGGGUGGCAGCUGAUCACCAGCUCUCCCACACUCACACCAGGACAACCACCCCAGCACUGCCCCAGCUAGCUCACCUGAUGGGGUAGCUGGCUAGGGGCAGGGCUAACUCUCUUGCUCUCAUGUCCUUAGGGCCAGCAUGCCCAGGUGAGGGCUGCAGCCAGAGAGGGGCAAGGACCAGUUCUUCUACUUAUGUCCCUUGGGCUAACUUUCCCACACUGUCCAGGGUACAAGUGGGGUCAGUUCUCCCACUCAUUUCCUCAGGCAGGCUCACCAGUGACUGAACCCUGGAAACCAAGGCAGGCUCUACUGUACUUCCUGAGGUGCAGGGCAGCUCUAUCGAGUGCUGCUUCCAGUGAGGGGUUUGGCCUAAGACCUGGGCCCAGAUGGCAGUCCAGACCAGGGAUGUCCAUAUGAUCUUUGGUGGUAAUAGACUCUCCUGCAGCUACAGGGUGACAGACCCUGGGCAGCAGUACGAGCUGCGCAGGCCACAGGUAGCAUUGCUGGCUACUCACAUUUGCUGUUCCUCACUACCCAGUUUCCAGUUCUACCUUCUCCUUUUCUCCAUCUCUCCCCCACUUACUUGUUUAUCUUAAAGGCGACCAGGGUCUCAGGAGUGCUAAGUCCCAUGUGAUGUGUGUAGUGUCUGGUAGGGGUCAUCUCAGGCUUGCUCUGCCUUCCCGAUUCUAACUCUUUUCCUUUAUAUGUUUAUUUAUCUGUGUUUGUGUAUGUGUGAGCGUGUGUAUCUCCUGGAGCUGGAGUUAAGGUAGUGCUCUUAACCCAUGAACCAUUUUCCUAGCACUAACUCCAGCUUCAAGAGAUCCAGUGCCUCUGGCCUCUGUAGACACAUGCAGAAAGACAUGCAGAAAAUUAAAAUAAGAUACAUCAUUUUCAAAAAUAAACGUUUUACAGAGUAUGUUGGUUCGCCUUUGUAAUCACAGCACUUGGAAAGCUGAGGCAAGAGGAGCACCAUGAGUUUUGGUCAACCAGAUCUACAUUGCGAGUUCUAGGCCAGCCUGGACUUAAAAAUGACACUCUGCUUCAAAAACAAAAAUAGAACUGCAAAUGUUGUACAGAAUCUCAGUGGGGAAAACUCCAUAGCAAAAAUAAAAUAACCCAGGAUACAUAUGUAAUCAUAUAACACACCGAAAUAGAACUAUAUAACAACAACAUACCUAUAUAGAUGCUUUCAAUGCACUAGACAAAUUUACUAAUGUAAGACAUUUCUAAGUAUUAAUUGAUUAGGAAUAUCCUAGAAAUGGGAAUAUCAAGAGGAGAUAGCAUCUAGUGUUCUGGCUUAAAGAAUUCCACACAAAGUGCCAAAGGAAAAGAAAGCAUUUGAAGGAAUGUAUGUUUUAAUUUUGGUUUUGGUUUUGAAGGAGAACCUAGCUAUGUAGUCCAGGUUGACCUUGAACUGCUGAUCCUUCUGCCUCAGCCACCAAGUGCUUAGAUUACAGGUGUGAACAACUAUAUCCAGGUGACAGUGAGUCUUGGUGGUAGUCAUGAACUCUAUUUCUAUUUUGUUCAAUUUGGAAUAUACUCAUCUGUGCCACAGGAGAGAUUAGGUUGAUACUGACACAUUUUUGGAGACAAGAAGAGGGGUUUGGCAUUGAAAUAUGUGUAUGCACUUGAGUCAGUCAAGCUUGAUGAUGGGUGCCUAAAGGCGUGGCACUCAAGAGGCUGAAGCAGGAGGACUUAGAAUUCCAGGCCAGACAAGUCAGGGACAUUGCUUCUGAAAGGAUCUACUAUUGAGAAAACAGAGUUAUAGACUAGAGGGUGUUUAAAGCCAUCAAAUGAGACAGGAAAGAACAGGCAAUGUAAAGAUCAAGAAAGAAUGAAGAAGAAGGGUUCUGGAGACAGAAGAAAUCUAGAUCAUCUCAGGGAUCCCAGAACAAAGAGAAGGCUUUGAAAAGGUGGCUAAGGGCUGGGGACUGGGAUCAGCAAUAAAAUGCUUAGCACACAAGGGGCCCUAGAAAUAAACUUCUGAACUGCAAAGGGAAGAAAGUCUAAGCUUUAAAGGACCAAUACCUGAGGAGUUACGCAGCAGACUCCAGACUUAAUGUUUCCAUUGAAGUGAGGAACGUGAGGAACAUCUGGUUAUCUUUAGGAACAGUUAUUUCACUAUAAAAAUGAGUGCUAAUUCUCCUAAUAAGUGGUGUGUAAUUUACAGUGGUUCUUUCUAGGACAAGUCCCUGUCUUUCUUUUACUGAAACAGCUGUUUCAUGCUCUCUACCAUUGUAAAAAUAUUCUUACCUUAAAGAAGUUGCCUUUGGGGCAAACUCAUCUGGAAAAAAGAUAGGACGAGUAGACACUUUUAAAUCAUCAGGACCUUUGCAAAUGGGAGAAGUUCAUUCUACUAUUCUUGUCUCUAGCUCCCAAAUAACACUUAUUCAUUUACUCAGUGAGCAGAUCUCUAAUGGACACCUAUCAGAGGCUAAGCCCUAUGUUAGAGUGUGGCAUCUCACAGUGAUACAGUUAGUGCCAUUUCUGACCUACUACACUUAAGGUCAAAGGUUUCACAGCCAAAUGCCAAAGAUUUAUCUGAGAGACGAAUGUGAUAGUGUAUGGCUGUAUGUUCUUAGAAUCUAAGCACGUGGGAGGCUGAAGUGGACAGUUGGUCAUGAGUACGUGGCCACCUGGCACUACAUAGAAAGACCAUGUCAUCAAAAUAAAUAGAAAAAUAAGCAAGCAAACAAAUAAAUAAAUAAGAAGCUAUCAAUGAUGUGAAAGAGGUAUGGUUGGAAAAGCUAUACAUUCUACACGAGCACACAGGGAAGCUUGGUCCGUAGUUAAGGCAUCUGGAGCAGUCUGAUGAUACUUGGUGUGAGCAACAGUUACACCUUGAAGAUAGGCAGGGAGAUGAAAAGAUCAUUCAAAACAUAAGAAGCAGAAUAGACAAUGACAGAGGAGCCAAAGCCAUGAUGAUGGGUUUAAGGAAGAAAAGAAAUCACGUACACGGGAUGCAUGUGUGUGACUGUAGAAGCGUGCACUGUUGUGUGGACUAUGGAAAGUAGGAGAUGGAGCAGAGAAGCAGAGACAAGAUCCAGCUCAUGCAGGGCCUGGGAAAUAUCACAGAACCCAGACAGCCCUAGGUUGAAUUCAGUGGAGGCGACAACUUAAAAUAUCAUUUUACAAAAAUGGGCUCUGGCAAGAUCAUCAGGUCAAGGUGCCCAGCCAAGUCUGACGACCCGGGUUUAUUCCUGGAACCCACAUGGUAAAGUCUGACUCAGAAAAGUUGUCCCCUGAUCUCUCCCGUGUGUUAUGGCACAUGCCAGUAUAUACAUGUAUACAUGCAAACACACAUGCAUGCACACUAAAUAAAUAAAUACAUGUAGGUAAAAUUAAAAACAAGCAACAAAACCCAUUCUAGCUGUAACAUGUUGAAAAACUAGAAAGGCAACCAACAGAAAGCAAAGAGACCACUGGGGGCUUUAAAGAAAAAGAUAUUUUUUAUUAUGUAUAUGAAUGUUUUGCCUACAUGAAUGUAAGGGAUGUGUACAAGUUCAGCACAUGUGCGAUUCGUGUCCAUGGAGGUCAGAAAAAGAGAGCCUUGGAUCCUCUGGAACCAGAGUUACAGGUGAUUGCGAGCUGCCAUGUUCGCUAGGAGAGCGCCAGUGCUCCUAAACCCUGAGUCAUCUCUCCAGCCCCAACUGAAGCCUUCUUAGCAUCCAGUAGAGUCCAUUUUGAGAAAAAGUAUUGAUCUAGAGAACUCAUGCAGUCUGUUAUGGUGACAGCCUAUGCAUAAAGUUUUAUAACGAAUGUAUAUGAAAAUUAUGAUAUUGUUAAUAUUUGCAUUAAAUAGAAUAUAUCAUUAAUAUAUUAUUUAAUAAUAGGUCUGUUAUAGUGACAGUAUAUUAGUGAUAUUAAAUAUAUAUUGUAUAUGUAUCCAGAAAAUUAAAAAAAAAUCUACAUGUGUGGUUCACAUUGUAUUUCUGCUGGAUGGCACAGGUUGGGAGCUUCACGGGAAAUGGAAAAAAGCCCAGGAAGAAAGAUCUAGAAAGUUGGUUUGCAGAAUUCACAUAUAAACUGGGUCCAUAGGGGAGACACAAGAGGAAGGAAUAAAAAUACUCUCAAGGUUCUCACUUGAGCAUCUCCAUGAAAGUGGAGGCUAUUCUGUUUCUAGAAUAUCCUUGGGCUAAGAAAUUACUGUUCUGCCUUCAAGAUGAGGGACGAAUCAGUAUGUUUGAAUGGAUGUAGAAUGUAUCAGAAAGAGGAGGCUCUGAAUGUGUAUAAAAUGCUCCUCAGUGAGAGGGAAGAUGUAUUUACCUUAUCAUAGGAAAAGCAGCAGGAUAGGUUCUGGGCAAAGUUUGUUAAAGACAAUGGGUUAUAGGUGUGUGAAAAGGCUUUUAUUUAGAGUAAGAGGGAGGUUGGAAAGAGGGACACACACACACACACACACACACACAGAGAGAGAGAGAGAGAGAGACAGAGAGAGAGACAGAGAGAGAGAGAGAGAGAGAGAGAGAGAGAAUAGGAGAGGGGUUAUUGAUGAGGGAAGUUGAUUUAUAACAUUUAGCCAUCCAAUAAAUACUAGUUUCUCUUAACAGCUUACAUAAAAAUCAAUAAGUGAUUCUAUUUUGUAAUUUCAUAUUAGAAUCAUAUUCUAUUCCUCUCUCUACAAGUACAUAGAGAUAGGUCUGUCUUCACACACACACAUACAUACACACACACACACUCACACACACACACACACAUUCACACACACACCCUCCUCAUUAUCAUACAUGAAUCCUGUUUUUAGAUAAAAGAUAUUCCUGAAAAUUUAGGGGAAAUUUAUCGAAUUGUGCAUGUUCUCUGGUCAUUGCAGCUAGAGAAAAGAUGGUCUUGCAGCUAGCUCUAACAAAAGAACUUCAGAUAUAUGCUCAAGCAAUGUCUAAAGGCCAUGCCCAAGUGGAAGCAGCCUUUUUAGCAGCGGAUUUUGGUGGUGCCGACUACUGAAUGAGGAGGAGAUGGACCACCUGGUUGUCAAUCUGAUGGCUAAAGCUAUCGUUUGGGGUUUGGGAGGCAGGGUACUUACCUCUGCUGAUUCUCCACCUACCUCUCUGUAGAAGAUGGGUGGCUUUUACAGCUCUUCAAAUGUCGCAGGUUUUUGUGAGGAUUCAGUGGGAAACUGCACAGAAAAGCCCUUUGCAGCCUGUGAAAUGCACAAAAACCAGUUAGAUGAUGGGGGCUCUUGCCUUCCCUAGAGGGAAGGCUGUUUUGGUUUUGACAUAAGGUUUUAUACUGUAGUCCAGAAUGGUAGGAUGACUUUUAACUGGCAGCACUCCUCCUGCCUUGCCCUUCAGAAUGCUGGGAUUACAAGUGUAAGCCAGUGUACCCGGCUUAGUGAAGUUUUUUUUUUUUUUAAAUCCUGGCUGGUAUUGCAUUGAUAAAAAUUCAUUUUCAUUACUGGGAUUAAGAAUUAAAGUAUAGAAUUAUAAUUUUAAAAAUUUUAAUGUUUUUACAUGUAUGGGUGUUUUGUUUGCAUGCAUACGUGUGUAUCAUGUGUACGCCUAGUGCAUACAGAAGCCAGAAGAAGGUUUUGGAUCCCCUGCAACUGGAAUUACAGUUGGUUGUAAGCCACCAUGUGGUUGCUGUAAUGAAACGAGGGUCGUUACCCUAGAACAGUCAGUCAGUGCUUUUAACCACUAAGGCAUUUCUAAAGCUACUAGAAUUAUGAUUUUUUUUAAAUAUAUGACUAUCCAUUGGCUCUUAUGAGAUCUGUAGGGUUCCUGUAAGAUUUUCUUUUGUCAGUGCUGACAAUUAAAUCCCCAGCUGGUACUUGGUAGGCAAAAGUCCACCACUAAGCUAUGCCUCUAAACCCACCAUCUCUCUUUAUGUUCCUAAAAGCAGGGGUCGUCGACAGGAAUGGUGGAGCUUGCCUUUAAUUCCAGUCUCUGUGAGUUUGAGGCCAGCAGCCUGGUCUACAAAGUGAGUUCCAGGAUAGCCAGGGCCACACAGAGAAACGCUGUCACAAAACACUAAAGCAAACAAACAAAACCAAAGGAGCAAACCAAAGGAACGUCAGAAUCUGGAUGACCACUUACAUGAAGUUCCCAGUACCCAACACCUCCACAGCUGCUCCCAGAGUCUCUUCUAGAUACAGUCUCAAGACCCUGUAGCUUUUCGUGUGUAGUGACGUAUGUCUAUAAUCCCAGCUCUUGAAAGGCAGAAGGAUCAGGAGUUCAAAGUCAGCCUUGGCUACACGAGACUAUCUCAGAAAGAAUGUGUGUAGGUGCCUGGAUGUUACUUGCCGACUGCACAAAACCCCAUGUUCAAUCCCCAGAACCAGCAAAAUAAAAGGAUAGAUAUUAUAGCCAAAUCUUUUAUAGCCAAAUCUACAUGCUGUACAAUUCACCCACUCGACGAAUACACAUCAGCAGUUUGAAAUAUAUUUACAAAGUCAUGAAACUGUCCUCUUUAUCUCUGGGUCUGUGGAGCUGAGCAUAGGUCUUACGCAGACAGAGGAUGCGCUGUAUUCGGUGUGACAAACUCAUUGUUUGCCCCAAGAGUGAAGAUAAAAGAGACAAAUCAUUGCACGCCUUGCAUGCCGCCUGCUCUUCCUCUGCUUUCCUAGCACUGAUAGCCGCCUCUCCACCGAUGUCCGCUGCCUUGGAACAAGACAAGGCUACUACAGAGAGAACACAGAUGUCAGAGCACGGACUCUUUCCCUCCCUGCAAGUUGGACAAGCCUUGGCCUCAACUUUCUAGUCUAUGAAUCAGAAGAUGUUUGUGAGGGAAAAUGAAUCAUGCUGCGAGUUGGAAGAUUCCUCGGCGGCUGCAUAGGCUGCUUCUAAUUCAAAGGUCUUUCUCUCCUUUACGGAUGCAGAUCAGCGCGGCUUCCUAAUAUCCUUGGACAGACCUGAUUGACAUUUUGGUUUAUCGGCUUCCAGAACUCUGCUGUUGACUCAGUUCUCUGUUUAAUUAGGAGGGAAAGGCUGUUAAACAGAAACAGUUAAUUGUGCCCAUAAAGGUAAGUGUAGCAGGACAAUGGAAGCUUUGCAGAAUCACAACUGUUUAGGCUGGUGGCUUAGAUGCUUUGAGAAAAUCCAUUUCUUACUCUACAGGGAGAGGAAAGUGCUCUAAAGAGAGCAUUACCAGGGAAGCUAAGCAAUGCUCUUUUCCAGUGUUUCCCUGAGAGGGUUUCUGACUUUGUGGUAUGGUACACAUUGUUUUUUCUUUAUUUUUAAAUGUCCUCUCAGCAAAACAACAGUAGUAACUUCCUCAUGAUGGCCUUACCAGUGUGGUAAAUUUCUGAAACAUGAAUAUUCUUUUGUUUGUAUAUUUAUAUGAGUGGGUGUGCCAGUUACACAUCCCUAGCCUUCCCUCUCUCCAUUGGAAAUCUACUCAAGGGAGGAGUCACAUGAACAUGAGUUUAAACCACAGUGCUCUCUACUCUCUUUCUCUCCCUCUCUCAAUUCAGGUAAUCAGGUCCUUUUUAUAAUGCCAGCCACUCACACUGGGGAAGCUGUGAAGUGGUAGAGAUCCCUAGAACACAGGAAACUAACUCCCUAUGUUUAUGGGCUUAACCAAGGUGUCUCGGAGAUUGGCAGAUCAGCCAAAGUCCUGGACAGCAUAUAAGACUAAUUCAGAAGCUAGUCCUAUUGGCCCACCCUGCCUUGGGGCUGCUACAAUUUAAGACCUUAAAGGAAGAGACUGGGGAGGAUGUAGGGCUCCUCUUUACAAAGGCAACCUCUGAAAUAAUUUAAAUAAGAAUUGCUGCCGUAGGCUCAGGGUUUUGAACGGUGGGUCCUCAGUGUGUGGCACUGUUUGGGGAGGUUUGGGCAGUGAAGGAAGGAGCUCACUGGAGGCAGGCUUUCAGAGUUUAAGCCAAAACCACUUCCAUCUCACCCUCAGCUUUCUGCUUCUGCUGCUAGGCCUUGCUGACAUGAUGGAUCUUAUCCCUUUGGAACCAUAACCCCUAAGACACUCUUCCUUCUAUGAGUUCCAUGGUCAUAGGAUUUGUCUCAAAAACAAGGCUCACUAAUACAUAGCCCCUUACUUACAGGUAUACUCUCUGGCCAAUGUAUAUACCAAUGUACUUACUAUACACAGAAGAAGGAAAGGCCUGGGUAGAAUGAUGGUUUGCUAUAGACAGAAAUAUUCUCUCUCUCUCUCUCUCUCUCUCUCUCUCUCUCUCUCUCUUUCUCUCUUUCUCUCUUUCUCUCCCUCCCUCUCUCUCUCUCUCUCUCCCCCCUCCCUCCCUCCCUGCUCCCUCCCUCCCUGCCCCCCACCUCUCUCUUGGGUUUUGCUGUUGUGUUUUGUUUUGUUUUGUUUUUAAUGAAAUCAGGUUGUUCUUGAACUCUCCAGUCUACUGCUUCUGCUUCCCAAGUGCUGGGAUUGAAGCUCUGCGUUACCAUACUCCACCUGCUUCCCAUAAACUCUUAAAGAGCAUGUAGAACACUCCUUUCUUUUACAGAUGAGAAAAUUAGGGCCAAAGUCUGGUAGAAUUUAACUAGAGUUUUUUUUUUUUUUUCUUUCCGUUUUCUUUUCUCAGUGUAGGUGGUUACACCUUUAGAGGAAGUUGUGUUUAAUUAAAGUUUACUGCUAAAUAAAAUACUGAGUUCAGGAUAAGUCUCUAAAGCCAUGAUGAAGAAAUUCUUAGCUCCUGUUAACAGCUCAAGCAUUAUAUUUUUUAAAAAAAUAAUCAUGAAGUUAAGUGAAAGCGGAGUGCAGGUUAUGUUUUAAAACUGGUUAUUUUCCAUGCUGUUAAAAUAAAAACAGACCACAAGUUAUGUUUAAGGUUGCUUCCUUUCCUGUGCUGUAUACACGAAUGUCAUUUUAGUAUAAAGCUCACUUCAAACUCUCUAUGAAUGUUUUCCAGACUCCAAAGAGCUCUAUCUGGAGAUAUCCCUCAGGAGUUGGUAGUAUUUUUCCAUAUCUGCUGCCUCCUGUUUGAAAGCCCAUGACCCUUCAAUAGUACCCCCAUGUAUGACCUGAAGUCACCCAAGAGCCAGGAAAUCCCUUGUCAUCCCAGCCUUGGUAAGUUUUGGUUGCCAUCAGCCAUGUCACAAAUAGAAUUCAGGUUUCCCAGUCAGUCUUUCCAGGGACCCAACUCACCUCUCUCUGUUUGGGUUUCCAUGCUGACAUUUAGAAAAACAACAGUCACUCAACUCACAGAGCCUUUUCUCUAUGCUCUGUACUAAUUUUAAUAUUGACUUUCUCCUAAAAGCUCCAAAACAUUUUAAGGAUCCCCCCCCUUUUCUUUUUUGCAAGAUUAAGCUUCCAAGCUUGUAUUUUUAAAGUGCUUCCAAAUUUUUUCUUAACAUAUGUUGCACGAAGUCUGUCCUAUUAACAGAACCCAAUCCUCUUCCAAAUAGUAGAAAAAUCCAAAGACUUAGCCUUUCCGAUAGCAUUUCUGGGCUGCACAAUUGCUUUGAGCUUUGUGCUUAGUUCAGACCAUUUCGACUGGGUUGGGUUCUCCCAUAUCGUUUGUCUGUAACCGUCAAAGAUUCUGAGGACAAACCACUUCAGAAACACUCAGUUCGAUGUCUGUCUGGGUAAGGACACUUUUUGUUGUGUUCAUGAGGACAGGAAAAGAAUUUUAAGAAACAAACACAGUGAUAUAUCACUUGAUUCUAACAUUUUUUUUUUUUUGGAACAGCUCUCUUUUAUACCCCCACUCCCUUCUACUCAGGAAACUCUAAAAUCACAGGAUUUGAUAAAUAUGUGUAGCAAAUUAAGAAUUUUCGAGAGGUGUUAUAUGUGUGUGUGAUUAAGCACUUUGAUGCCGGAACCACAGCACUUGGGCUUGGAGCUGCGUUUCUGCUACUUCCUUCCCAGGCAACCUUGAGAAGGUCACUCUGUGCCUCAGUUUCUAAAGGGGAAUAAUAAAAUGUAAGUGAAGAUAAAUAUCAAGUAUAUGCAAAUCUAUUUGGACAUGCCUAGUGCACAGAAGCAAUAAGUUUGAGCAAUUUCUAUAUAGCUGUAAAUACCAAGAAUAAAGCUACCUUAGGACGCAGCAAACGUGUAUUCCCCAGGACAUAGGCUAUUUUUGGGAGGAAUUUGAAAUAAGUUUCAUACAUUUUUAUUCAUUGUCUUGCAAUUUUCUCUCACUAUUUAUUUUAUUACAAUUGCCAAGAAUGAUUGGGAUUUUUAUGUCCUGUCUUGAAUUUCAAUUUACCUCAUAAGAAAUCAUCUUCCAGUAGGAAAUAGUUAGGGUUCUUCUGUGGCUGUUACUUGGGAUUAUAUGAUGCUUUGACAUCCAUUUCACGCUAGGUUUAGGAAUCUUUUUUGUUGGCUUUGACAAAAAUCUAAGCCACUGAGAUACUAGGAUGCUGUUUUGAAAGGUGUGGUAUCCACCUAUGGGAUACAGCAUGGGAGAGAUCAGGGAUACAGGACCAACCUCUAAGAAGGCCCUUCAUGAACUCUAGCCUGAUCUCUUACAGAAUCUUGGCAAGGCUUGAGGCUCAAACGAAUAUCCAAGGCGUGCUCUGGGUUGAUUGGUUCUUGAUUUACCUUGUUUGGUUAGGUUCAGGAGCUCAGUUCAGUCUGGACGUGGUGGAACGAGUCUGUAAUCCCAGCAAACUGGUAGCUAAUGAAGGAGAAUGUUAGUCUGAGAUCAUUCCAGGCUACUUGGUGAGACCCCAUGGCAAAAAAAACCAAAACAGUUCAGUUAUACUAGGAUUGAAUCAGAUAAAUGAAAAAGACAAUGCACUAAAGAACGUCAGUGUCUUUCCCAGUACUAAGACUUCCUUGUUCUAAACUUGACCCUGAAUCCCUUAUGUUCUAGACCUAAUUUAGUGACUGUUUUCUGGACUGUAUUGUUAUCUAGCUCUUCCAUGUCGGCAAAGCUCACUUUCUUGAGCAGGCACUGGCACUGACAGGCUUUUUGUGUUGUUGUUUCCUUCAGUGUGGGCUGUGGAUUCAACCAUGCUACAGCUUCACAAAGGGAUCUCAGCGCUUGUUUUCAGCUCCCAGUGUGCUAGCUCAUAUGUUGUUGCCAGGACCAUUCCCUAGAUAAUCUGCAUGCCUGGCCUUGGCAAUAGAUCUCCCUAAGGAUGCUAUCCUGUGAGUGUGCAAUUAUAACCCACGCCAAAUGUCAACUGUCUGCUCUGGAGGCCUGGAGAGUUAGGCUAUCGUAACUCUUUCCUGAAAUGUGGUGCCAGUAUAACACUGUUAACCAGACCCAGCUCUACACACACACACACACACACACACACACACACACACACACACACACACACACACACAGGACCCACAAGAGAAGCUUGGUACUACAUAUGUCUUUGAAAAUUGCAUUUUUUUCAAAUGCAAAGUCUGUUUUAAGUUGUAAGAAAAGAAGGUAGGUUGUAGAUUAAAACUGCAGACAUAUAUUUACAGGUCUGGAGGCUGACAGGUUCCAAAAGCUCUAGCAAAUUCAUUUGUUUGAUGAAGUCUCCUUUCAUGGCAUGUAGAAGGCAGCUUCUUGCCUUUGCAGGGUGGAAGGGGUGUUUUUCAGGUCUUACUUUUUGGGAGUGACUAAUUCCACUCAUGACAGUGCUGUAUUUAUGAUUUAAUUACCCCAGAGGCUCUAUCUCCACACACCAUCAUAUUGAAAGUUAGGAUAUUAGCAUACGAAUUGGUGGCAAUACAAAUAUUCAAGACAUAGUAUAUUCAUAAAAGAGCUAAAAUUAUGAUAAAGAUGUAAACAUUGGCUAAACUAUUUACAAAGUUGUAAGCCACCUGGAAGAGGCAUUUUAGCACCCGUUCUUCCUUUAUCUAGGAAUUAUAUACAGUAACAGGGUGGUCAUUUUUAUUGCUAAGAAAUGUGAGUUAUGAGUUUCCACAUCUUUAAAGCUCAUAUUGAUUACCUGAGUCAUUUUUUUAAUUGGGAAAGACUAAUAAACCAUCCAGUGGUAGAUAUUAUCUGUCAUCUAAGACAAAUGAAUGUUUGUAUGUUAAUUAUGCUUAAAAUACAAGUAUAAAUAACUUUGCCACAAGUACAUAGAGCAAGUAUUUGAUGCAGACUGAGAAUCAGAGAUGGUGUCUCAGUAAGGUUUCUCUUUUUCUCCCUUGCCCUCUUCCCUGUCUUCUUUUCUUGCUUUCUUUCCUCCCUCUUUCUGUUUGUUUCACACAUCUGCCUGUAUUUUUCUUCCUUUGAAAUCUGACUAAAGUCGGGUCAGGUGGGUGCAUAAUACCUCUGAUCCCAGCCAUCCAAAGAUUAAUGCAAAAGAAUGUGAGGCCCUGGGUAGCCUAAACUAUGCAAACCAUUGUAACAGUAGAAAGAAAGAAAACCUAGGCAAGAGUUUCUCUUAUAAUGCACAAAAGCAUUUAUUAGUGAGACUUAAAAUAGAUUAUAAACAUAUAUAACUUUGUAGAUAACAUAAACGUGUAUACAACAGAGUCAAUAAUACAUUAAAUUUCAACAAUGAUUAUUCUCUAACAAUUUGAGAUCUUAAUCCCUUCUAGCUUUCUAUGUACUUCAGGCUUCAAUGGAAAUAUUUAUAUACCUCAACAUAUUAAGCAAACGACAGUUUCAUUUCCAUCAAAUACAAUGUUGACAGCUUAUUUAAAUUUAACACAAACUGUUUUAUUACAGCCAGUAAGGCAUAUGAAGGGGUUGCUAUAUGGGUAGACAAAAAUAAAAAUAUUUCAAAUUGAGACUAUGGGAGGAAUUAAGAUAGUCCCCAGAACUUUCACUUCCUUCUUUCCCAUUCCAGGGUAACUUUUGGAUUUGAUAGUUUAGCAUUAAUAGUUUCAGGGAUAGGUUCUAGGUGUUCAAUGAAGCAAGUUAAUUUCCUUUUACAUCUGUAUUGGUUCAGGAAACACCCAAUGAAUUCCUAGCUGGGUUUACUGGCUCAUGGUUCCGUCAAUCUCCUUAGAGCUGGAUUUUUUGCUCCUUCCUUGGCUGAAAGAACAGCAUAUUUUCUCACAGUAUUUUUUGUUGUUAUUGUUGCUUUAAUGAAACACGUGAGUGUGGUAGUAUUAACUGUGAACCGUGCUUAUUUACUCCACAAACGUGGAAGCUCAGGAUGUAAACUAGACCCUGGUGUGG